GAAUGCUGACAUAAGUAACGAUAAAGCGGGUGAAAAGCCCGCUCGCCGGAAGACCAAGGGUUCCUGUCCAACGUUAAUCGGGGCAGGGUGAGUCGACCCCUAAGGCGAGGCCGAAAGGCGUAGUCGAUGGGAAACGGGUUAAUAUUCCCGUACUUGGUGUUACUGCGAAGGGGGGACGGAGAAGGCUAUGUUGGCCGGGCGACGGUUGUCCCGGUUUAAGCGUGUAGGUGUGUGUUCCAGGUAAAUCCGGUUCACUUUAACACUGAGGCGUGACGACGAGGCACUACGGUGCUGAAGCAACAAAUGCCCUGCUUCCAGGAAAAGCCUCUAAGCAUCAGGUAACAUCAAAUCGUACCCCAAACCGACACAGGUGGUCAGGUAGAGAAUACCAAGGCGCUUGAGAGAACUCGGGUGAAGGAACUAGGCAAAAUGGUGCCGUAACUUCGGGAGAAGGCACGCUGACACGUAGGUGAAGUGAUUUACUCAUGGAGCUGAAGUCAGUCGAAGAUACCAGCUGGCUGCAACUGUUUAUUAAAAACACAGCACUGUGCAAACACGAAAGUGGACGUAUACGGUGUGACGCCUGCCCGGUGCCGGAAGGUUAAUUGAUGGGGUCAGCGCAAGCGAAGCUCCUGAUCGAAGCCCCGGUAAACGGCGGCCGUAACUAUAACGGUCCUAAGGUAGCGAAAUUCCUUGUCGGGUAAGUUCCGACCUGCACGAAUGGCGUAAUGAUGGCCAGGCUGUCUCCACCCGAGACUCAGUGAAAUUGAACUCGCUGUGAAGAUGCAGUGUACCCGCGGCAAGACGGAAAGACCCCGUGAACCUUUACUAUAGCUUGACACUGAACAUUGAGCCUUGAUGUGUAGGAUAGGUGGGAGGCUUUGAAGUGUGGACGCCAGUCUGCAUGGAGCCGACCUUGAAAUACCACCCUUUAAUGUUUGAUGUUCUAACGUGGACCCGUUACCCGGGUUGCGGACAGUGUCUGGUGGGUAGUUUGACUGGGGCGGUCUCCUCCUAAAGAGUAACGGAGGAGCACGAAGGUUGGCUAAUCCUGGUCGGACAUCAGGAGGUUAGUGCAAUGGCAUAAGCCAGCUUGACUGCGAGCGUGACGGCGCGAGCAGGUGCGAAAGCAGGUCAUAGUGAUCCGGUGGUUCUGAAUGGAAGGGCCAUCGCUCAACGGAUAAAAGGUACUCCGGGGAUAACAGGCUGAUACCGCCCAAGAGUUCAUAUCGACGGCGGUGUUUGGCACCUCGAUGUCGGCUCAUCACAUCCUGGGGCUGAAGUAGGUCCCAAGGGUAUGGCUGUUCGCCAUUUAAAGUGGUACGCGAGCUGGGUUUAGAACGUCGUGAGACAGUUCGGUCCCUAUCUGCCGUGGGCGCUGGAGAACUGAGGGGGGCUGCUCCUAGUACGAGAGGACCGGAGUGGACGCAUCACUGGUGUUCGGGUUGUCAUGCCAAUGGCACUGCCCGGUAGCUAAAUGCGGAAGAGAUAAGUGCUGAAAGCAUCUAAGCACGAAACUUGCCCCGAGAUGAGUUCUCCCUGAGACUUAAAGUCUCCUGAAGGAACGUUGAAGACGACGACGUUGAUAGGCCGGGUGUGUAAGCGCAGCGAUGCGUUGAGCUAACCGGUACUAAUGAACCGUGAGGC
rnacentral:rRNA from 1 species